GGGUGAUUAGCUCAGCUGGUAGAGCUGCUGACUCUUAAUCAGCCGGUCGUAGGUUCGAAUCCUACAUCACCCA
rnacentral:tRNA from 2 species